rnacentral:rRNA from 1 species
CCUACGGGUGGCAGCAGUAGGGAAUAUUGCUCAAUGGGGGAAACCCUGAAGCAGCAACGCCGCGUGGGGGAAUGAAGGUCUUCGGAUUGUAAACCCCUGUCAUGUGGGAGCAAAUUAAAAAGAUAGUACCACAAGAGGAAGAGACGGCUAACUCUGUGCCAGCAGCCGCGGUAAUACAGAGGUCUCAAGCGUUGUUCGGAAUCACUGGGCGUAAAGGGUGCGUAGGCUGUAUCGUAAGUCGUGUGUGAAAGGCGCGGGCUCAACCCGCGGACGGCACAUGAAACUGUGUGACUAGAGUAAGGGAGGGGGAACCGGAAUUCUCGGUGUAGCAGUGAAAUGCGUAGAUAUCGAGAGGAACACUCGUGGCGAAGGCGGGUUCCUGGACAUUAACUGACGCUGAGGCACGAAGGCCAGGGGAGCGAAAGGGAUUAGAUACCCGAGUAGUC